rnacentral:rRNA from 1 species
AGGAGUUUGAUCAUGGCUCAGAUUGAACGCUGGCGGCAUGCUUUACACAUGCAAGUCGAGCGGCAGCGCGGGGGCAACCCUGGCGGCGAGCGGCGGACGGGUGAGUAAUGCAUCGGAACGUAUCCCGUAGUGGGGGACAACCCAGCGAAAGCUGGGCUAAUACCGCAUAUGCUCUACGGAGGAAAGUGGGGGACCCGCAAGGGCCUCACGCUAUGGGAGCGGCCGAUGUCCGAUUAGCUAGUUGGUGGGGUAAAGGCCCACCAAGGCGACGAUCGGUAGCUGGUCUGAGAGGAUGAUCAGCCACACUGGGACUGAGACACGGCCCAGACUCCUACGGGAGGCAGCAGUGGGGAAUUUUGGACAAUGGGGGCAACCCUGAUCCAGCCAUGCCGCGUGCGGGAAGAAGGCCUUCGGGUUGUAAACCGCUUUUGGUCGGGAAGAAAAGGCGUCUCCUAAUACGGGGCGUUCUUGACGGUACCGGCAGAAUAAGCACCGGCUAACUACGUG